GCGGGUGUGGUGGAACUGGCAGACACGCUAGACUUAGGAUCUAGUGCCUUUACGGCGUGGGGGUUCGACUCCCUUCACCCGCA
rnacentral:tRNA from 1 species